rnacentral:rRNA from 1 species
AACGUAGGUGGCGAGCGUUAUCCGGAUUUACUGGGCGUAAAGCGUGUGCAGGUGGGCUACCAAGUGGUGUAUGAAAUCUCUCAGCUUAACUGAGAGCGGUUAUGCCAGACUGGUAGCCUAGAGUACGAGAGAGGGACGUGGAAUUCCGGGUGUAGUGGUGAAAUGCGUAGAGAUCCGGAGGAACCCCAGAGGCGAAGGCGGCGUCCUGGCUCGAUACUGACACUCAGACACGACAGCAUGGGGGAGCGAAACGGG